AUCCUGGCUCAGGAUGAACGCUAGCUACAGGCUUAACACAUGCAAGUCGAGGGGAAACGAUAUUGGAAGCUUGCUUCCGAUAGGCGUCGACCGGCGCACGGGUGAGUAACGCGUAUCCAACCUGCCAUCACUUGGGGAUAACCUUGCGAAAGUAAGACUAAUACCCAAUGACGUCUCUAGAAGACAUCUGAAGGAGAUUAAAGAUUUAUCGGUGAUGGAUGGGGAUGCGUCUGAUUAGCUUGUUGGCGGGGUAACGGCCCACCAAGGCGACGAUCAGUAGGGGUUCUGAGAGGAAGGUCCCCCACAUUGGAACUGAGACACGGUCCAAACUCCUACGGGAGGCAGCAGUGAGGAAUAUUGGUCAAUGGGCGAGAGCCUGAACCAGCCAAGUAGCGUGCAGGAUGACGGCCCUAUGGGUUGUAAACUGCUUUUAUAAGGGAAUAAAGUGGGAGUCGUGACUCUUUUUGCAUGUACCUUAUGAAUAAGGACCGGCUAAUUCCGUG
rnacentral:rRNA from 1 species